UACGUAGGGGGCUAGCGUUGUCCGGAAUCAUUGGGCGUAAAGCGCGUGUAGGCGGUUCGGUAAGUCCGCUGUGAAAGUCGGGGGCUCAACCCUCGAAGGCCGGUGGAUACUGUCGGACUAGAGUGCGGAAGAGGCGAGUGGAAUUCCUGGUGUAGCGGUGAAAUGCGUAGAUAUCGGAAGGAACAUCAGUGGCGAAAGCGGCUUCCUGGACCGACACUGACGCUGAGGCGCGAAAGCCAGGGGAGCAAACGGG
rnacentral:rRNA from 1 species